AUGGUGGCCGGAUCGGGCGUGUUACUCCGGAGACUUGUUGCGGUCUCCGACGAGAGCAUGGUACCGACACGUUUCUCGGUGAUGCUAUUUUGUAGCAGAAUUUUGCAGGUUUGGGCAGAGUAUUUUGGACUGGUUAUGAGCAGGUUUGCAGGCUGGUUUAUAGUGAUGCAUAGUAUUAUAUGUGAACCAGCUCUUGGGUUGGCACUUGGGCAUACAAGGUUGAAACCACUCGGCUGGACCUAUCAUUUGGAUGUAAUGAAACAUCAAUGA